AUUGAACGCUGGCGGCAGGCCUAACACAUGCAAGUCGAACGAGUGGCGGACGGGUGAGUAAUGUCUGGGAAACUGCCCGAUGGAGGGGGAUAACUACUGGAAACGGUAGCUAAUACCGCAUACCAUCGGAUGUGCCCAGAUGGGAGUAGCUAGUGGGUGGGGUAACGCCUCACCUAGGCGACGAUCCCUAGCUGGUCUGAGAGGAUGCCCAGCCACACUGGAACGGAGACACGGCCCAGACUCCUACGGGGGGCAGAAGUGGGGAAUAUUGUACAAGGGGCGAAAGCCUGAUGCAGCCAGGCCGCGGGUAGGAGGAAGGCCUUCGGGUUGUAAAGUACUUUUAGCGGGGAGGCGUUACCUGCAGAAGAAGCCCCGGCUAACUCCGUGCCAGCAGCCGCGGUAAUUC
rnacentral:rRNA from 1 species